UAAAUAAUGAUAUUAUAGGGGGUUAGUAAUUAGGAGGGAUAAAUAAAGUUAUAUAAAUAUUGAUAUGUUUGAGUAGGAUAAGUGAGUAAAUUAUGAUAGUGAUAUAGAAGAGUAAUGUAAGUGAAAAGAGAAAGAUGGAGAUAAGGAGGUUUAUUUUAGUGUACCUUUUGUAUCAGGGGUUAUUAAAAUAAAAGUUUACUAGUAAAUUUUCUUGAAUUAGAAAGAGUGAAUUAAGUAUGAGAGUUAGUGUUGAAAAAUUAUUUUGAAUAUUUAAUUAGUGAAUAAAUUUUAGUCAAUUUUUAAGAUAUCUAGUUUUUUUAAUCAUAAAAUUUAAUUUAGUUAGGUUUUUAUAUAGUUUAAUUAAGGAGAGAAUUAAUAUAAUAGCUUAGAAUUUAUAGGUUGCGGGAUAAAUUGUGAUCUAGGUUUAAAAGUAGGGCUUACAUUAGAAAUAUAAAUGUUUAUAGAAUUUGAAUUUUUUAAGGAUAAUUUAAUAAUUUAUAAUUGGAAGAGGGGUAUGAAUUUAGGAAAAUGUAUAUUAAUGAAUUAAGAAAAAAUUAAUUGUAAUAUUUUUGGAUGAAGUUAUAAUGAUAAUAUUAGUAUAAAUUAGAAUAGGUUAUUUAAAAGUAAGGUGUAUAUUAGUUUUAAGAAUUCGGCAAAUUAAAGUUCAACUGUUUAAUAAAAACAUAGUUUUUUGAUUAUAAUUUAAAAUAUGUCUGCUCUAUGAGUGGGAACUUAAAUGGCUGCAGUAUCUUGACUGUACAAAGGUAGCAUAAUCAAUUGUUUUUUAAUUGAAAACUUGGAUGAAAGAAAGAAUGAAAUUUUAACUGUUUUAGAUUAAUAAAUAAAAUUUAAUUAUUGAGUAAAAAGGCUUAGAUAAUUUUAAGGGACGAGAAGACCCUAUAGAAUUUUAUAAAAAUUUAAAUAAAAAUUAAGUAAGAAGUGAAUUUAGAUUUUUAUUUGGUUGGGAGGAUAAUUAAAUUUUGUAAACUUUAAUUUUAAAAAGACAUGGAUGAAUGGUUAGUUGGGAAAGAAUGGUUGAUAAAUUUAGAAAGAAUUAAUUACCUUAGGGAUAACAGCGUGAUAUUUUUAGAGAGAUCUUAUUGAUAAAAGUGAUUGCGACCUCGAUGUUGAAUUAAGAUAAAAUCUAGGCGUAGAGGCUUAGGGAUUUAAGUCUGUUCGACUUUUAAUAUCUUACAUGAUUUGAGUUUAGAUCGGUGUAAGCCAGAUCGGAUUCUAUCUUUAAAAAAGAUACAUAUAUUUGUACGAAAGGACUUUAUAUGUAAAUAAUAUUUUAAAUUGAUAAAUAUAUCAUUAAGAAUUACUUUGGCAGAUUAAGUGCAUUAAAUUUAGAAUUUAAAAU
rnacentral:rRNA from 1 species